CCUACGGGUGGCAGCAGUGAGGAAUAUUGGUCAAUGGCCGGAAGGCUGAACCAGCCAAGCCGCGUGAAGGACGAAGGUGCCAAGCAGUGUAAACUUCUUUUGUCAAGGGACAAAAUCAGGCUCGAGAGCCUGACCGCGGGUACCUGAAGAAAAAGCAUCGGCUAACUCCGUGCCAGCAGCCGCGGUAAUACGGAGGAUGCGAGUGUUAUCCGGAUUUAUUGGGUUUAAAGGGUGCGUAGGCGGUAUUUAAAGUUAGUGGUAAAACGUCGGGGCUUCACCCUGAUUUGCCAUUUAAACUGGCGUACUAGAGUACAGACGAGGUAGGCGGAAUGAGUUGCGUAGCGGUGAAAUGCUUAGAUAUUACUUAGAACCCCGAUCGCGAAGGCAGCUUACCAGACUGUGACUGACGCUGAGGCACGAGAGCGUGGGUAGCGAACAGGAUUAGAUACCCGUGUAGUC
rnacentral:rRNA from 1 species